GCCUGUGUGUGCGUGACUGCCGUUGUCGCGUGUGUCUGUGUGUGUGAGUCGGCUAUCUCUCGACAACGCCUCGCAUAGCCUCGUCAUCACUUGAUCGGAGUCUAUCGCAUCCUUCGAAAGUUUUUUAGUAGACUCGACAGAAUACAUUUCCGACAACCACAUAGAGGAUACAUUUAGACAAAUAUGAGUUACGGAAGGCCCCCGCCCCGCAUUGACGGGAUGGUCUCGCUCAAAGUCGACAAUUUGACCUACCGCACGACCCCCGAAGACCUUAGACGAGUUUUUGAGAGAUGUGGUGAAGUUGGUGAUAUUUACAUACCCCGGGACAGAUUUACCCGGGAAAGCAGAGGCUUUGCAUUUGUCAGAUUUUAUGACAAACGCGAUGCUGAAGAUGCGCUAGAUGCUAUGGACGGAAGAGUUCUUGAUGGUAGGGAAUUGAGAGUUCAAAUGGCUCGAUACGGAAGGCCCACAUCUCCUCACCGUAGCCGCGGAGGGAGACGCUACCGAAGCCGCAGCCGUGAUCGUAGGCGCUCCAGGUCCCGAUCCCGUUCUCGCAGUCGUUCACGAUCCCGCAGCCGCGAUCGCGAUCGCAAGCGCAGCUAUUCUAGAUCAAGAUCACGUUCCGACAGUAAGAGUUCUCGCGGUAGAUCUCGCACUCGCAGCAAAUCUGCAGAUCAUGGUAAAGAUACAAGAUCCAAGUCUAGAGAUUAAAUGUUCAUCUCAAUCAUCUUCAUGACAAUGCUGAGUUGACAGGCUUACCAUUGUCACGUACCAGAAUACAGACUUGAGUGUUAUGAAAGGCGGUGUUGUUCGCGGUCGCUGCGAAAGAUGAUGGCGUUGCGAGAGAUGCGGAGAGUGACGAGAUAAUAGGCGAAAAAGAGCGAGAUACCCCGAAUGCGGCGGCGUUUGGCGCACGCGGUUGGUGUUGGCGAGAUCCGAGCUUGCAGUCUCUCUCACACGGAGCUGUUGAAUUAUGGUGUGGCUUUGUUGCUGUUGAUUGCCGGUCGAGAGUGCUUGCACAGUGAAAAUCAAAUUUUUUUUUAUAUCUUCCCCGCCCUUCGAGCUUGUGUGUGCUGUCUUCACAUCUUGCUCUCUCUCUCCCUUUUUGAUUUUAUUUUAAAUUUUGUCUCAAUAAUGAGAUAUCUCUUUUAUUACACAUUUUAUUAUGCCUGUCUGAUCUGCAGAUAUUGCUGUGUGCUACGGCUGCUGCUGAUUUCAGCCUGCAGAAAAGUGAGCUGAUUAUUCAGCAAACAAAAAAAAACGAAACUAAACAGACACGAUUCUUUUCUCACGAGAACGAGAGAGCAAGCCGCUUCGAGAGAGAGAGAAAAAAAAUUAGAAAAAUGUACUCAAUGCGCCCACCGCCAUCACACUGUUGUUGCCGCCUAGUUCUGAGCAUUUCUGCGUUUGCUGACCCAUGGGGUGUACGAGAGCUUAUCUGAACGCGAGACUGAUAUGCUGAGCACUUAGACAUUUUCGUAAACGUAGGAGAUGCGAGAUAGGGAUGCGCCAGAGAAAAAAAAAGGCCAGUUGCUGUUUCCCGAGUGGCGCAUAAGAUCGCUGAGCUUAGAAAGAUAGAAAAAAACGCAGUACCGAACGAGCGUAGCUGCGGAUUGCACGAGAACAGAAUGAACAGCUCUGGGCACGUAUUAAUCAAUUUGGUCAUUUAUUCAUAUGCCAUAGUUUGAUUAUGUACGAUUAUUAGCGGUGCGGUGAUAGAGAAACAGGCGCUUAUCGAUCGAUGGCCGCUGUUGUACGAGUCUGCUUUGACACAUGUGAGUUUGUUUCUCGUCUUUAUAAUUCAUUUCAUGUAAAACACGUUAAUUAUCUCUGGCUGUACAUAAUACUCAUCCAGUCCUAACACAAUACAAUUACUGCACUUGACAAAUCUGUCUGUGCUAAGAGCUCUUUGUUUUAGUCUAGCUGAAAACUAUACAACAAUCGAUUAUUUACUCAUGAAUUAACAAUUAAACAUAUAUGGCUUGGCAUACAUUCAAGUAGACAACUAGAAUCAAAAUGGCAUUUUUGUUUAUUACCGUAUUAAUCGAUUUUCCUCGUAAUUUUAUGAAUUAUGUAGUUUGCUAUUUUUACGUUCUAUGUAAUAUUAUUAUUAACUGGCAGGGGCGUUAUAUAGAUCUUCUAAAUUAUUCAUAUUUGAGUAAUAUGCAUCAGCCUGGCUGUUUGGGGGAAUUUUCGUGAACGAAUUUCCUUUGAACAACCACUUCAACUAUGCAUAGCCUUUGACCAGAUGUUAUUCUAGAGCAUUAAUACUAAUGAUAUGUAAUGGUACUUUUUAUAAGUUUGCAUGCUUGUACAUAAAUUUUUAUGAUUCCAGUAGUUUUUUUUUAUAUUUAUUAACAAAAUUGGCAUGGAAGGAACUAUUUUACUAGUAACUCAAAAUGAAUUGGCAUUUGAUAAAUGUUCAGUUUAUUAAUUUUUUUACUCAUCAAUACACGUUGAAUUUCACAAACAAAAUGUCUAAUCAAGUACAUCAUUGUUAGUCUUUGUUACGAAAAUCUUACAAACGGUUUACUUUUAAAAGUGGACAUAACAAAUGCGGCAAAUAGGCUUCUAAUCGACAAUGUGUUUAUAUUCUGUGAGCCUGAUAAUGCGAGCAAAAAUAAACGAACAAAAAGAAAAAAUAAAUAUGCCAACAAACGUUUGAACUUGCUAACCGCGCGCCUCAUUUUUUGCGAUUACAAAGCAUCUAUUUUUGUUUACGAAUUUCAUAUGUAGUUUACCUUUAUGUUUUAAAUACAUAAUCUGAUGCGUCGAGUAAAAAAUAGUUGAGCAUAAUGUAGUCUGUAGGUCAUCAAAUUUGCCGUAACAGAUACUUUACAGAUAUCAUCGAGUAUAGGCACGAGAUGUUUAUUAUUUUUUGUUCCUGCACGAAAAAACUCCGAGUAAGUAUUACAUAACUAUGCGUACAUUAACGUACGUAGUGGUUAUCGCCGCAACGAUAUACAUGUGAAGACGGAAUGUUCGAUGCAGAACACCAGAAUGAGAGGAUACGAAGAAUCAUCUCUUGACUUUCUAUGCUUUUGGGCCCGACUCCAUCGGUGAUAUUAUUUUUCUUCUUUUCUUUUUCUUUUAUUAACUCUAAAAAUGUAUUUUUUUCAUACAUCACUACAAUAUGGAAGAUAAAUCUAUUCUAUAUAUCAAAAAAUAAAGAGUGUGAAUUCGUGGAAGAUAAAAAUCUGAGUUUUUAUUUUGAAAUUUUGAAUUAUAUCAUUAUACUUAUAAGAUGGCACGGUAUAAGUUAAACAUUUUUUAUACAUGGUAACAACUUUGUAAGAUGGUGUCGUAAGCAGCAUGUGUUAUUUCAAUGGCUGCUUGUUAUCGUUUUCUUUGAUGCAAAGAGAUAAAUGAUCGUCAUUUUAAAUUUCGAACGAAUUGUUUUUUUGCAUUCUUCUCAUCUCCGAUACGUCAGAUGUAAAAGUGACAAUUUGUACUCAUGGAAUAAAUUUUUAUAAUUUCAUUAUAUUGCUUUUUAUGAAAAAACAGUUAUUGCGAACGCACGACGUUCUUAAUAUUAAUUGUCGCUUGUUUACUUGUAAUAAAACGUAAUAAACCGGAAGAUGGAGACAAUAGUUCAUGAUCUACUGAAAUAAUUUUGACGAUUGAGAACUCUCAAUGGCAAUGAUUGAAAAUUACAAAUUUUUGUUACCGUCUCCCAGUCUAUAAUGCAAAUAAAUAAUUUAUUUUUAGUUAUAUGAUGAUUGUUUUAAAGCAAUUUGUACCUAUACAUUUGUGCCACGCAGGCUGUGAAGAAUUUAUGUUUAAUUGAAAUAGUAUUUUCUUAUAAUCAAUCACAUUAGUUUCUCUAUUAAUCUACAUUGUAUAUAAGGCUCGGUAUUUAUUUUCAUUUUUUUUUAACAAGAUUUCAGAUCGAUGAAUUUUCAUCUUUCAUAUAAUAUUUUUAUUAAAAAUUGAAUGCCUAAUAAACAUGGAAGAUUUAUUAUCCUCUCAUGGAAGCGGAAGGUUUCAUAUAUCUAUGCACUACUCGUUAAACGAGCUAAAUCUAAAAUAUACAACCAACUUGUGGACUAUUGCUUAUUCAAAUGUUUAACAUUGUGCAUAGAGAUGAAAAAUGUUCGAAGACACAACCAGUUUUUGACGUUCAAUUUGUCUCUACGAGGAGCGUGCUGGUAGAAUGUUUACUUCUUCAUUUUUUUUUUGUUUUAUUACAAUUUGAUGAGAGAGGCAAACAAAAAGGUAACGUAAGUAUCGAUUAUAUAUUGGAAGAACAAAAGCAAUCGUUCGUGCACGAUUGAAAUCACCAUGUGAAUAACACAAUUCAAAUUUCCAUUAAUAAAAAUAACCGUCCGAGUUCAAAAUUAAAUUAAAGUAUAAGUCAAUAAAAAAAAUGACAAAGAAAUGAGA